CUAUGAAAUGCCCGCUAAAAAUACUAGGUCAACCAAAAAUUUGACCAAUUUAAUUGUAGCUAAAAUUGUAAUGCAAGCUGCUAAAAAAAAGUUCCUUCCAAUUUUAUUAACCCGCCUUCUCUCUCCUAAAAUCUUCGUAUUCUCCAUUUUCUGCUGAACAUUUUCGCUGAAUAUCUUCUCCAUUUUCGCUCAGCCCUACAAAGAACCCAGUUUUGCGUUUUGUUCUAAUUCUGCGUUUUCCUCACAAAGAACCCCGAUUCUCCUCCAUUUCCGAGUUUUUGUUCAAUUUUUGGGUUUCCUCACAAAGAACCCGAUUUGUGACGACAUUGGAAUUUCCGACAGAUUUGGGGAUUGUUCAAUUCGUUCAGCGGCCACCUCUGUGAUGCAUGCAAAUGGCGACGUCUCUUUCUCUUCUCCUCUCCAUUGAAGUCUUAUUCUGAAUCCUCCAUUGAAUCCUCUCCUCUUCUUCUGUCAUUUCUGAAUUCACCGAGUAUCAAUUUCACAACCUAGGUUUUGCAAGAUAAAAAAUUGAAGGGACAGCUUGCUGUUAAAGAAGAGUUGUAUAAACGCUCUGCAAAAACAAGAACGAAUGUUGAAAAGGCUGGUUUGAUUAACAAGAAGCUCGGGGUUCAUCUGUUUGAUUUCUUGUCGUGAAUCCAUUCCUGCUGCUCGUAACAGCUGAUAUGUUCAUUUUAUAUAGUGAUUUACCCCUAUCCCUUGGUCAUUUUAGGAGUAUUUUUGGCUCUUUGGAGUCACUUUUAUUACUAAUAUGCGUUUUCUAGUGUUUUUGUAGUUUUGGUAU